GAUGAACGCUAGCUACAGGCUUAACACAUGCAAGUCGAGGGGCAGCACAGAGAUAGCUUGCUAUCUUGGGUGGCGACCGGCGCACGGGUGAGUAACGCGUAUCCAACCUGCCCAUUACUCUGGGAUAGCCUUGCGAAAGUAAGAUUAAUACCGGAUGUUGUUAAAAACCCGCAUGAGUUUUUAACCAAAGAUUUAUUGGUAAUGGAUGGGGAUGCGUGACAUUAGGUAGUAGGUGAGGUAACGGCUCACCUAGCCGACGAUGUCUAGGGGUUCUGAGAGGAAGGUCCCCCACACUGGAACUGAGACACGGUCCAGACUCCUACGGGAGGCAGCAGUGAGGAAUAUUGGUCAAUGGACGAGAGUCUGAACCAGCCAAGUAGCGUGCAGGAUGACGGCCCUCUGGGUUGUAAACUGCUUUUAGUUGGGAAUAAAAAGAGGGACGUGUCCCUAAUUGUAUGUACCAUCAGAAAAAGGACCGGCUAAUUCCGUGCCAGCAGCCGCAGUAACAC
rnacentral:rRNA from 1 species